ACUGUGAUCCCUGAGGUGGACUUGGUCACCAUGGAGACAGAGGGAGACUCCCAGUUCUCCUCUCAGCUUCCACAGCUGCAGUCUCGUGUGGCGCUUUGGUGGCAGGUAGACUUGGGCUCGGUUCCUGGCACUCCUGAUGGCUAGCUGUGUGAUGUUGGCAUGUGGCCUAGUUUAGGCUAAGCCUUGUUUACCAUGCGUCAUGCUCUCUUCCUCCUGGUGCAUGGUGAGGCUGAAUGAGGUGACAUGAUAGCUCUAUGAUACCCAGCCCUUUUAGACUGCCUCCUCCCUCUCUCUUUCGUCCUCAGGCACAGCCCCCUGCACCUGUAGAUUUGGCAGAAGCCCCUGCUCCUUUUCUUGCUGGGCUGGGUUGGGGCAGGAUCUCCCGCUGUCCAGCAGGGUCAGCUCCAGAGGGGGAGCCGUGCCAAAGGAGAGCUUCUUCUGUCCCCGUGUGUUCAUCCCACGGACUUUGCUAUCCCAUGGACGGAAUAAAAAGACAUUGGCAUUUAAGUGCCAUGAUUUCAGGGACACCAGGAAGGCCUUUCCUUGGCUCUCCUCCCUUCCGUCCUCAUCCCCCCAAAACAAACUCUUUCCUCUAUGUUGCCUGCUGAAAUUCAACUCUUGAGAGUUUAUUCUUUGGAUUAAGUAGUUUAAAGGCAGAUUUUCUUACAAGUCAUGAUAUUUGAAGACUGAAAUUUGCCUGUCUGUAUGAAAGAAUGAAUCUCAGUCCCUCCUCUGGGGCCCUGUGUGAGGGGGGGCCUGAGCUCAUGGGCCAAGGAGGAAAGGCAGCCCAGACUCUCCUUCAACCUGCUGCACCAUUUUGCUUUGAGCCCAUUUUAAAAGAAGGUGCAAGACCAAUUUCUCACUAAAUCCUCAAAACUCAUAUUCUCAGCCUUGAGUUUUUUCCUCCCCAACCCCCACCUCAGCUCCACUUCCUCCCCAUCUCGAUACUCCACUGUGACAAGAGGAAAGAGGGGCUAGUGUGCAGCUGGUUGGGGAUGACACAUGUCAUCUCCUUUAAACAUCAUGCAAUCCUGGCAGCAGGGAUUAAUCAUCUGACUCCAAAAAGGAACGAAACACAUAGCAGAAGAGUUAGUAAAUUAUCCAAAGGCACCAAAUCCAUGAGUGGACCAGCCGGGAUUUGGGCUCAGGUUGGUCUUUCUCUAAAAGUUUUCAUGAAGAAGUUCCCGCGGUGGCUCAGCGGUAAUGAACCUGACUAGUAUCCAUGAGGACUCGGGUUUGAUUCCUGGCCUUGCUUGGUGUGUUAAGGAUCUGGUAUUGCUGUGAGCUGCUUUCAGUGCAGGCUGGGAGCUGCAGCUCCAACUCUACCCCUAGCCUAGAAACUUCCAUAUGCUGUGGGUGUGGCCCUAAGAAAAAGAGUUUUCAUAAAAUGGUGGUAACUACUUCCACUUUCUUCUGGAUCCUAUUCCCCACCUUCUAUUUCUAAUUGACUAAUCUUAAUAUAUAAAUUUCAAAAUAUAAGUUUCUAGAGAGCGGAUAAUACAUUUCUAUCACACAAUCCUAGGAUUUAAAAGAUGUUUUAUUUGGAAAACACUGAAACAUCCACAAAAGGAGUUCCCGUCAUGGCUCAGUGGUUAAUGAACCCAACUAGCAUCCAUGAGGAUGCAGGUUCUAUCCCUGGCCUUGCUCAGUGGGUGAAGGAUCCAGCAUUGCCGUGAGCUGUGGUGUAGGUCGCAGAUGCGGCUUGGAUCCCACAUUGCUGUGGCUGUGGCGUAGGCCGGCGGCUACAGCUCUGAUUAAACCCCUAGCCUGGGAACCUCCAUAUGCUGCAGGUGCAGCC
rnacentral:lncRNA from 1 species